GAGACAUGAUGAUUUUUAUAUUGGUCCGUGUUUCUGAAUUACCGUGACCGACAUCUUUUUCCAAUCUCUGAUCUC